CUCAGGAGAUGUGGAUCCAGCCUGGAUCUCCCUUACAUCUACAUGAUCCCACUGGAGGAGAUCAUCUUGCACCAUGGGAGGCAGAGCAAGCCAAAGAAAAUCUAAUAUUGUUCUGCAAAACCACAUUAUGUCUCUGCUAUGAACUAGUGAAAGCUACAAAAGCAUGGCGUAACAUUGUGUGGAUGAAUGUAGAAGUGGAAAACUGUCUGUUUUUUACAGAAAAGGGUGGGACACUUACAGUUCAAAUAAAAAUAAAAUAUUAAUAUUGUAAUAAAAUAUUAAAGAUCAAAAGAUGGAGCAUACAA